rnacentral:rRNA from 1 species
UACGUAGGGAGCAAGCGUUGUCCGGAAUCAUUGGGCGUAAAGCGCGCGUAGGCGGCCCCGUAAGUCCGCUGUGAAAGUCAAAGGCUCAACCUUUGAAAGCCGGUGGAUACUGUGGGGCUAGAGUCCGGAAGAGGCGAGUGGAAUUCCUGGUGUAGCGGUGGAAUGCGCAGAUAUCAGGAGGAACACCAAUAGCGAAGGCAGCUCGCUGGGACGGUACUGACGCUAAGGCGCGAAAGCAUGGGGAGCGAACAGG